rnacentral:rRNA from 3 species
AAACUUUCAACAAAGGAUCUCUUGGCUCUCGCAUCGAUGAAGAACGCAGCGAAGCGCGAAAUGUAGUGUGAAUCGCAGAAAAUUGUGAAUCAUCGAAUCUUUGAACGCACAUUGCGCCUCCUUUCCGGGAGGCAUGCCUGUCUGAGCGUCGUUU